rnacentral:tRNA from 1 species
GCCCGGGUGGUGAAACUGGUAGACACAAGGGACUUAAAAUCCCUCGGCCUUAAACAAGCCAUGCCGGUUCGAUUCCGGCCCCGGGUA